ACCGCCACCAUGCCCGGCUAAUUUUUGCAUUUUUUAGUAGAGAUUGGGUUUCACCAUGUGGGCCAGGCUGGUCUCGAACUCCUGACCUCAAGUGAUCUGCCCGCCGUGGCCACCCAAAGUGCUGGGAUUACAGGCGUCAGCCACUGCGCCCGGCCUGAAUCCAUUUUAACAUUUAGUUUUUCAGAUUAACUCGAAGUACCCCACAGCUACACGCUAAUGAAACUAGAGGAGGCACAGCCUCAGCUCCAUGCAGGAUGGAUGCACAAGAGCAGAAUCUCCAUGGGAUGCCUUUCUGGAGCAUCAGGAUUACUGCAGGAUUUGGAAGCAACAAGUUCAAAUAAUUUUCAACGUUAACACACUGGAAAUUUAAGAGAAGUCUGGAAAGUCAUCUACCUUUAAAAACUGUCAGUCAUCUGUGCCUAAGUCAGACUUUCUCCAAGAAAAAAAAAAAAAACUCUAAGGAGAACCUAUUUUUCAUUCUUCUAAGUAGUUAAAAUUUGAAAUCACAGCAAGUCAAUAGGAAGCUCUCCUCUGCCAGUCUCCUAAAUCACAAUAUGGCCUUGGUCAAAGCUACCUAGAUGUCCUCAUACAAAUUACAAGCUAUGAUGUCCACCUCAUUCUCUUUCUGGAAGGCUGACCUUAACUGUCCUGCACAUUCCUGACAGAGCAUAUUUGCCCUUUUCCUAUACUAAUAAGCCCUAAAUCUUGUGGGUAACAGCCUGGGGAACUACCUGUCUUGCUACCACUCAAGACCAUGCUUCUGUCCACAAAUUCCCCCCAAUAAAUUACCUUUUACUGACAAA
rnacentral:lncRNA from 1 species